GAUUUCUGGUUUGAUGCGCCUGGCCCGCCUCGUAAGAGUGUGAGUGCCGGUGCGCGUCUGCCAUCUUUCCGCUUAAAGUGGCUGGGGAUUCAUUUCCUUUGGCUACUCAAGGCGGAUCAUUUACUUUGAAAAAAUUAGAGUGUUUAAAGCAGGCUUUUUGCUAUGAAUACAUUAGCAUGGAAUAAUAAUUUAGGACUUCGGUUCUAUUUUGUUGGUUUCUAGAUCUGAAGUAAUGAUUGAUAGGGAUAGUUGGGGGUGCUAGUAUUCAUCGGCCAGAGGUGAAAUUCUUGGAUUCGAUGAAGACUAACUUAUGCGAAAGCAUU
rnacentral:rRNA from 2 species